CAAAAACACAUGAUUUCAGCUUCCCAUAAAUCACAGAGGGUUUUGCCUAAGAGAAAAAUGCAUGGCAAAACACAUCACGAAUAAACAGUUUAAGGCAAUAAUCAGAUUGCACAAGUAGGUCAAGGAUUGGGGAAGGUGACAUACAAAUUUGCAUUCAGGUGAAGCAUGGAGGGGCAUGUUAGUGUUAGCCUACAUCUGGUGAGAGACAGGAUACCAGCAGUGCCGUUGUUCUCAGGCAAGGAAACUGAAGCUGAAGAGAUAAAGAUCACUUAACUAAGAUCCACAGUGACUAUCAUUUCUCCACCUGAUGUCGAGCAACAUUUUCCAGGAUUGGAAAAUGCUUGGGUUGGAUCAAUUUAUAGUUUAUCAGAUUUGCAAAAUCUCCUAAAGAUGGCCUUGCUCUCUCCUCCAAGGCUGAUGACUGGAAUGGGAACUGAAGAUGAAUAAAUUAAAAGCCUAAAAAGAC